ACGAAUCGUUACGCUCCUCACCGGCAAAAUUGAGCAGCGUCUAAAUAAAUGCAGAAUAAAAAUCAAAAAGGUGUUGAAAAUUGGAGAAUAAAACUUAAAGUAAUUUAUUUAAAAUAAAAAUAAUUCAUAUUGCAUGACGCUAGCUGGUUCUGAAACGAUUCUGAUCUGAGUACAAGUGUGAUAUGUGCUUUUGUGCCGAGACCUCAUAGUCUAAACAUGACCAUCUGGGAGCUGACUGCUGGGGACUUGUGACAAUGCCGCCGAUACACCAAUGCAAACAAAAAAUUCAAAAUCUCCAGAGGUUUUUUCAAUAAUGUAUUUGUAGUUGUUUUUGUUAAGCCAAAUCGUCUUCACAGUGCUUCAGCAGGUAUGCAGCUCAAGAAACCCUAAGUAUUCUCAAAAUAUAUUUGUUUACGCUCUCUCUUCUAAGCAAAUGCAAAAAAUAGGAGACUGCACUUGGGACACUCUUCAGCGAGGUACUCCUGAAAUCAGGUUUUUCAUACAAACGAAGCCUCCUACAAAUUAGAGCUUAUUUUAAUAUCUACAAGCAGUAGAAGGCAUUGAAAAUCCUCCCUGCUAUUAGUACGUGCUGUCACCUAUUCGGCCUCUCCAACGCAGAAUCUCCAAUUUCGAAGUUGAGCUAUCAAAACAGGACUUUGGAUCUCCUCAGACUUUGAGGGCAGCAAGGAAAAUCAACAC